GACGAACGCUGGCGGCGUGCUUAACACAUGCAAGUCGAGCGGUAAGGCCCUUUCGGGGGUACACGAGCGGCGAACGGGUGAGUAACACGUGGGUGACCUGCCUUUAGCUCUGGGAUAAGCCUGGGAAACCGGGUCUAAUACCGGAUAUGACUCCGCGGCGCAUGUUGUGGGGUGGAAAGCCUUGUGCGGCUGGAGAUGGG
rnacentral:rRNA from 1 species